CGGAGUCCUGCUUGGGGAGACUAGAGCACUCACCCUGGGCCUGCUGGAGAGUCCCCGGAGAGAGGGUCGCCGCCCGCCGGCUCCGGGGCACUCGGGUGAGCGCUCGCAGAGGCCGUUGACCGAGCGCACCGAGGCGCCCGGGCAAAGAAGCGGCGGAGCGGCCGCGACGGGCCGGGACAGACGCGAGAACGUCCAGGACUGGCCCCUUCCAGGAGCCGUAGCGGAAGUAGGUUUCUGGUCAUGUGACGAGAGAAGGGCGGAUGUUCCGUGCAGGCUCGUGAGACGUCGACGCGGAGCCAUUUUUGUCGUGGGCAAAGCACUCCCGUCUCAGAAAGGAAAAGUGUUCAAGGACUCUGCUUCUCCUAUGACACUGGCUUGAGACAGGGCUGGAGAAGAUGAUGAGUGGUUAAAAGCACUGACUGACUGCUCUUCCAGAGAUCCUGAGUUCAAUUCCCAGUAACCACAUGGUGGCUCACAACCACCUGUAAUGGGAUCUGAUGCUCUCUUCUGGAUCUCAUGGCUGGCUUCCAUUUUGUGUGCUCAGUGGUGACUGACACUCACGGCUGCUCAUCCCACCUCCAUCUCCCAGGUGCUGGAACAACAACUGUGAGAGAAGAUGCUACUCAACUGCCUCCAAAGGGACAGUUUCUGAAGCAACAACUACAUAUCGUGGAUCCUUAAAUCCUUGAAUAUCUGAUAGGAAAAUAUCUUUUACCUUUACAAAAAUAUGCACCCAAGGACUUUACAUACAACUUAGGUUAUUGGGUCACUCGGGAUGCUACAGAUUUCUCCAGGAAGGGCCAUGAAAUCCCUUACUUAAAAGCUCUGCUUCUGGGGCAGUUAAUAGGCUCUUGCAGGGGUCCAGAAUUCAAUUCCCAGCAACCACAUGCUGGCUCACAACCAUCCAUAGUGAGAUCUGUUAUGCAGGUAUAUAUGCAGGCAGAAUACUGUGUACAUAAUAAAUAAAUAAAUAAAUAAAUAAAUAAAUAAAUAAAUCUUAAGAG
rnacentral:lncRNA from 1 species